rnacentral:rRNA from 1 species
GAUGAACGCUGGCGGCGUGCCUAAUACAUGCAAGUCGAGCGAACAGACGAGGAGCUUGCUCCUCUGACGUUAGCGGCGGACGGGUGAGUAACACGUGGAUAACCUACCUAUAAGACUGGGAUAACUUCGGGAAACCGGAGCUAAUACCGGAUAAUAUAUUGAACCGCAUGGUUCAAUAGUGAAAGACGGUUUUGCUGUCACUUAUAGAUGGAUCCGCGCCGCAUUAGCUAGUUGGUAAGGUAACGGCUUACCAAGGCAACGAUGCGUAGCCGACCUGAGAGGGUGAUAGGCGACACUGGAACUGGAACACGCACCAGACUGCUAGGGGAGGCAGCAGUGGGGAAUUUUCAGGAAAGGGCGAAAGCCUUACGCGGCAACGCCGAGUGAGUGAUGAAGGUCUUCGGAUCGUAAAACUCUGUUAUUAGGGAAGAACAAAUGUGUAAGUAUCUAUGCACGUAUUGACGGUACCGAAUCAGAAAGCCACGGCUAACUACGUG